GAUGAACGCUGGCGGCGUGCCUAAUACAUGCAAGUCGAGCGAACGGACGAGAAGCUUGCUUCUCUGAUGUUAGCGGCGGACGGGUGAGUAACACGUGGAUAACCUACCUAUAAGACUGGGAUAACUUCGGGAAACCGGAGCUAAUACCGGAUAAUAUUUUGAACCGCAUGGUUCAAAAGUGAGAGACGGUCUUGCUGUCACUUAUAGAUGGAUCCGCGCUGCAUUAGCUAGUUGGUAAGGUAACGGCUUACCAAGGCAACGAUGCAUAGCCGACCUGAGAGGGUGAUCGGCCACACUGGGACUGAGACACGGUCCAGACUCCUACGGGAGGCAGCAGUAGGGAAUCUUCCGCAAUGGGCGAAAGCCUGACGGAGCAACGCCGCGUGAGUGAUGAAGGUCUUCGGAUCGUAAAACUCUGUUAUUAGGGAAGAACAUAUGUGUAAGUAACUGUGCACAUCUUGACGGUACCUAAUCAGAAAGCCACGGCUAACUACGUG
rnacentral:rRNA from 1 species